AGCAGCCAGAUUGGGGAGCCACCUGGGUCCUCCUGGCUUCUGUCCUUGAAUCUCUGUUGUGGGGCACCAAGAGUCAGUGACUGUGGCAGGCCCCACCCUCCCCUCACUGGCUGGCUAUUAGGUGGCCUCGGUAAGCCCUGAGCACACGCAUAUACGGUUCUUUAAUAGCUCAUAUAGCAUGGCCAGCCCUGGGCAGCCUAGCUGAAGGAGGUGGGCCACAGGUGGCCGGUGAAGGCAGGGUUUGCAAUCAGGUGGAGGACUCUGAGCCAUGGCAGACAGCCGUGAAGGAGGGCAGACAGGAUAAUGCCAGGAGGAAUGGAGCUGCCUCUCAGCCACGGGCCAGGAGACCUGAGCCUCUUCAGUGAAUUACACUUCCUGACUCCAGGUGACAGAAGCCCCUGGCUCUGGGCCACACCAGCAGAUUUGGGCUCAGGGGCCAGGCUCCUGAGCUGCACCUGAACUCCAGGAGCUGUAGGCAUGAAGGAGCUCACCCUGGCAUCUGGCCACCCCGCCACACACACACAGCAGGGGCUGUGAGGAGGCUUGGGCAGAAGCAAGUGUGUCUAGGUGUGUGUUGGGGACAGGGGUCAGCCGACCAGGGUGGAGUCAGUGAGCCCCACUGAGGGGCUGUUGGGGCUGGGGGAGAGGCAGACCUGGUGAGACUGGGGUAGUAGUGGGGCCUGGUAGUACUGAUUCUGGCCCCCCACCCCGUCUUCUUCGCUGGCUCUUCUGGCUGCCAGUGGUGUGACCCCAUGGCUGUCUCCCUGGGCAGGGGGAGGCUGUCCCCAUAGUACCCACUGAGCCGUGCCCCCUUCUCCACCCAGAACAGGCUGCCCCAGCCCUGUGACAGGUCCUCAGCCAGGAGGAGGCCUUAGGGACUGGCAUUUAGGAGCUAGGUUCCUGGCUCUGCUGACCACCAGAAGCCACCUUGCCUCUGGGAGCCUCAGUUAGGCUGAACAUUAGAUGAGGGUAUUUGCCCUCCGUAAUGCCCUGUGGGGCAGACGGCAGGGCCAGGCGGGCACUUUGCUUGUAGGACAUCUGGUGGAGCCUUCUAAGGCUCCUGUGCCAGGGCUGGGAUGUGGGCAGGCUGGGCAGAUGGGAGAGCUCAGGCCCUGGGGCUCACACAGGGCCGAAGCUUUGGGGUCCAGGCACCCUGACUGCAGCCUCCACCCCUCGGAGGAAGGGCUCAGCCUAGAGUUCCCUGCAGGGAGCUAUGAGGAUGAACCUCCACCAGAGGCCUUCUUCAGCCCCGCACUGGGCUCUGGGCCCCCCCCCCCCACACCCCCGCAGACUACCUGGGAACCCCUGAGUUCACCACUACCUGGCCUGACUAUAGGGCAUCAGGGGUGUCUUGGGGUGACCUGAGCUGGGACCGAAGACCAGGCAGGAGUUCGUCAGGUGGGGACAGUAUGAGGCGGUCAGGGAAGGACAUGGGAGGUGACCAGCGUGGCUGGGCACCAACCGGGUGAGGCCCUUGAACUUGAGGCUAAGCACAGUUGCCUUUGAG
rnacentral:lncRNA from 1 species